rnacentral:ribozyme from 15 species
AAGCGGGAAAUUAAGAAAAAAAAAAAAUGAAAACAAGAAAGAAAAAAAGAAGAAACGGGAAAAAGUUGUAUUAGUUCCUCCCUCGAACUCUCCGCUUGUCUUUCUUU